CUAGAUGACCAUCUAGCCUCCGUGGUUACUUUGAUAUGAAAAAUCGUUAUUUUUAUAGCUUGUUAAUUUAAUAAUAAUUAUAACAAUAAUAAUAAUAAUAAUAGUAUUAAUAACAAUAAUUUUAUUUAUCACUAGGAAAGUGCUUUUGUACUCCUGAAAUUAACUAAUUUUUUUUUGGAAGUUCAGCUUUGCUUAUUGUUAAAGGCUGAUUAAUAAUAAAAAAGAGUAGGAAGCUCCGAGAUCUUGUUUCCAAGUGGAAUGGUAAUUUAGAUGCUAUCGAUGAAAAUAGUGGUGAUAGUCAAACCAAUUAUCUAAAUUAGUGGCAUUAAAUCUGUGUUCAAUAUUAUAUUAAUAAAAGUAAAGGUGGUUCUACGGAUUAUAGAGUGUCAAGCUUAAUCAUGCGUUAUAUUACUUAAAGGGCACGAAGACAUUCAUUACGAAGAAUUUUAUAUUUGAUACUUCUAUAUGUUGAUAUCAGAUUUUAUAAAACCGAUGCCGAUGAAAGUUAAGCAAAGCUGAUAAAUUUAUGAUAUUCAUGACAGCGGAUCAGCAAGAAGGAGUAAAACCACUUGUCAACCCUGAUGAUUAUUUUGAGUAUUUACUGUUUGCAGUAUCAGAAUUGUACAAAAAAGAUCCACUAAAAUUAAAUUUCGUUUUAGAGUACUAGUGUCGAAACGAUAACGUUACGCACGUAUCAUCGAAUGUCCACGUGGCAAGAUUAUCAGUUCGUCAAGGGACGUUGUUUAAAUUCGUACGACUAGCUAGUGAAAUAUUACCUGCAGGACUAUUUGUGCCAUACUUAAAAAUGAUAGCGUCAUUGGCAUCAUCACCACAAGCAGCAAGACAUGCUUUCAAUUUCUUGAAACCUAAUGGCUCUAGUGGAUCAACAAUACUAUGGGAUCAUUUUUUCAACUCUCUUGACAGAUAUUAUUACAACUUACGUCAAGAAUUGCCGCCAAAUUACGAUACAGUUAAUCAUCAGCACUGUCAUCUAAAAGGAAUCACGCCGCAUGAAGUUAAUGGUCCGGAAGCAGUACUGGAUGUAGUACAAGUUGUCGCUAAAUACGAUGAGAUGUCUCGCAUUGCCAUUUGUGAGCAUCCAGGUUGGAAAGUCAUACCAGCUCUGAUAGGUCUUGCACGCUGUGUAAUGCCUAUACGGCUCAAAAGAGUUCUAGUUCGUACAACAGCUGCUCUACUCAAAUCAUCCGAGAGCUCAAGUACUAUCUGGCAAAGUUUAAAAGUGGCACAAAUUUUGUGUACUAUUCCAACAACCAGCAGUUACCAAUCCCGAGGUAUCCAGACAGAGUUAGAAGAAACUGAAUCGCGUAAUGAAGAAUAUCCAUUAACUCGAUCAAUGUUUGAACUUUUUGAUGCUCUGGUAGACUCUGAUUCUAUGACUACUGGGUGUUGGUCAACGAAACCCAGGCUUUGAUCUUUAUCUCUAUUUUAUUAUUAAAACAGUAUUUCUUAGAUUUAAUAUCCGGUCGUACAAAGAUCCCAAGGAAAAGUGGCUAGUUGCUGAUACCUAUUUAAAGAUUUUCAAUAAAUUGAUCGCACAAUACGAGCCUAAUGUUGAAGAUUUCAUUGGUUAUCGUAUAGAAUUACAAGACGGUGAUUUUACUCUGGUAAAUCCUGAACCUGGAUAUCAUAUAAGGACUCAACUAUAUUCUAUUUCAGAAUUUCUACACGUGAUUCUCUACAUUCUUGACGAAGGUGGUCAUAAUUCAGAAACUUACGACUACUUGCUAAGUAAAGAUAGCUUGGAAAACAGUACAUUCUACUGUCUGAGAAUCCAUGAGCGUGGUCGAAUACAAUUUUAACAGGUUUAUUUAAGCUUUUAUCAGGUGUAAAUCCAAGAACAGAAAAGCCAGACCACAUGAUCAACAUCGCAAUGUAUACGACUUUUAACUUUUAAACUCGUGGUUACCCAAACACGCUUAUUUAUCUAUUGGAAUAAUUCAAGAUUCAAGCAAAUGAGCCUGGAGCAGACUCAGAAUUACUUUCUACAUUUACAUCGACAUCUCAGAUGUCUCUAACAAUCAGACAUGGUUUUGUUGAGUUUCUUGACUUGGAUCCAGUUGACGCUAAUCAAAAAUUGGAAGAAGAAAAAAAUCAGAAUAACUCUGCACCAAUCGCGACAAUGAGGUAAACUACUGGAAGAUACAAACUUCUUAUUGAAAGCAAGAUACAUACGAUAUUUAGAAGAAUUUGCGCUGGUCUAUGUUAUGCGAGUGAAUCUGAUGUUGGAUACAUUAUGUCAUUGGUUUAUCAGAUGGCUUACUCUGAUAAUAAUGCCACUAAUAUGAGCUUAAAAAUUACUUCUUUCAAUGUUGCAUUUGCUACUAAUCCAGGAAAAUUAAACUAGGAUGAUAAAAUUCAAGGAAUAACACUGGGUUCAUUAAUCUUCAGCUAUCUAUUCAGAAAUGUUAUGAAUAGGCGAAUGAUUGGUGGUAUAUUAAUGAAUGUUCCCGGUGUAUUUUUACAACUUUAUUAACCGUAGUAAGUUCAUUUAUUGAGGUAUUUUUUGUAUUUAGUAAAAAUACAAUUUUUUUUAACAAACGCUAUAAAUAAAGCGUUAAAUAACAAAGUGAGAAUAAAUAUGUAAACCGAGAUAAAGUUUGAUAUUAUAGGAUUACGAGGGAAAUCCUGUUUCCACCAUGCUUCAAAACCUACAUUAGAUGAGCGUCGGUUCUUGUGUGCGUUUCAUUAAGUGAUUUGCAUUAUAAAAAUAAUAUUUCAAUAAAAAAAAUUUUAAAUAUUAUAUUUAAAUUAACAUGAUGUUCUUAAUUGAAUGUUUGGAAGAUAAUUCAUUAACUAUUGUACAAGAUGACAAAGUUAUUUGUGACUUAAAAACUGUGGCAAUUGGUGACGUGGUCAAUUUUAUUCACAUAAAAAAAAAUAUGAAGGUGUUGUGAUUGAUUUUUCAGAUAAUGAUGAAGCUUUAAAACUAAAACGAUUGAAAUUAUUGAAAACAAAACCAAAAAUAACUGAUAUUGAUGAUCCUCCGAAAAAUUUGUAUGUCGACAGCACUAUGAAACUUCAUAAAAGACCUCGUAAUUCAGAAUAUAAGUGUAACAAACCAUCAACAAAAAAAUCUAAAAUAACAAAAAAUAGUAGCUUUCAUAAAUCAAAAUUAUUAAAAGCUAAUGAUUCAAAUACUUCUGUUGAAUCCGAACAGUCAGAUUAUUCAGGACUUGAUAUUUCCUCUGGUAAAGAAAGUGAAUCUUCACCAAAAUCUUCUAAGGUUAACGAUAAAAUAAAUCAAAACAAAAAAUCUGAUAACAGUCCACAAAAAAUUACAAAAAGUACAACUCCUACAUUUGAGAUUGACGAUAUUAACACUUCUGCUUCUAAUGACAUAACUAAUUUAAAAUUAAAAUCUCGUGAAAAUAGUUCAUUAUACUUGAACUCCGAUUUAAAUCGUCGUUUAUCACCGGGAAAAUCUCUUAACAAAACAAAAAUGCCUUCGGAAAUGGACAAUGACGAUUCUAGUACACAAAUGUCUCAACAAUCUCUAAAUAAACCUGAGGCACAUGAUGGUAAUGAUAAUAAUCAUUUUGAUAAUGACGAUGAUGAUCAUCAGCUAUAUGGUCCUACUUAUAAUAACAAUAAGAUGGUAAAUAUUGGCAAUAACGUGUACUGCGUGUCUAGAGUUCAUUCCAUGGCAAUUAAUGAUAAAAAAUCGGCACAUUUAAUUGCCCGUACACUAAUUUCUGGGGUUUUUAAAAUUAAAGCAAUUUUAAAAAUUACUUUAUCAGGAAGAUCUCCCAGAGCUCAAGGUCGAGAUUGAAUGGAACAAGAUACAGAAGUUAUGAGCAUGAGAGCUAAAGAAGCAAUUAUCGCUUAUUCAUUGAAAUUAGUUAAAGAAAAGGAUACAAAGGAAAGUCGAAAAAUAAUAAUAGCGGCAAUGCGACAAAAACUUGUGGAAUUGAAGAAACAAAUACGUGAUAAUAAUGAUUUGAAUAAUAAAAAAAAAAGCAAUGGGCAUCAGGCAGUUGACUGUUAAAAAGAUGCAGCUGAUCAAGAAUAAGUAAGAAAGUAAGAUUUAAGUAAAAAGAGACAAUCUCACAAAAAUUUUCACUCUAUUUGAGCAGUUAUUAUAAGAAUUUUUUAAAUAUUUUUUUAUUAUUGAUUAUUUUUUUUAAAUAUUAUGCAUAGUUGAUGUUAUAUCAUUACUGGUCGAAAAAUCAU